GAUGAACGCUAGCUGGAGGCUUAAUACAUGCAAGUCGAGCGGGAUUGGUAGCAAUACCAUGAGAGCGGCGCACGGGUGAGUAACGCGUACACGACCUACCUCUGACAGGGGGAUAGCCCUGGGAAACUGGGAUUAAUACCGCAUAUUAUUCUGAUUAAUAAAGGAUUGGAAUGAAAGUUCAGGCAGUCAGAGAUGGGUGUGCGUCUGAUUAGCUAGUUGGUAGGGUAACGGCCUACCAAGGCGAUGAUCAGUAGGGGGCGUGAGAGCGUGGUCCCCCACACGGGUACUGAGACACGGACCCGACUCCUACGGGAGGCAGCAGUAAGGAAUAUUGGACAAUGGCCGAAAGGCUGAUCCAGCCAUCCAGCGUGCAGGAAGAAGGCCCUAUGGGUUGUAAACUGCUUUUAUCAGGGAAUAAACCUCUGGAUUCACUCCGGAGCUGAAGGUACCUGAAGAAUAAGCACCGGCUAACUCCGUGCCAGCAGCCGCGGU
rnacentral:rRNA from 1 species